UGUGCUCUAUCCGUUCGAGUUUCGCUUCUCUAGAGAAGGUGAGACGCUAAAAAUGAAAGUGUUCGCAACGCAUACCGAAAGGGUACCAAUGAAGCCGACCAUUAAUGACUAGUUCGAACACCAGGAGCGGUCUGAUCAGGAUCAGACAGACCGCUCUUAGAAAGAAAAGCAAACUCUCACGGAGCCCAGCUCCAACUACUUCUUAGUAAGUGAGGUGAGGUACUUCUUUCGGGGUCGCCCUUUUUUGGUUGAAGCAGCCACGACUUUGGUCGUAGUCAGUUCAAACACAUAAACCCAGUCCACUUGCAGCCAUGUUGAUCAAAAUGACUAAGUUUCAUGACUUGACCAGUCACUCGCCCUCGUAUUAUAAGAUCAUCUCACCUUGUGGUCGACAUUCCAUUCCCCUUAGUCGUAGGUGCUCGUUCUAUUUUUUUUGAUUUGAAUGGGCCGGGUCUCCCGAGGUACAUAUGGCCGGCCUUUCGGGUGUCUCGGUGAUACAAACAAAAAAAAGACGAAUUCCUCCCGUUGGUCGCCUCUCUCCAAGCCAAUCCGUCACCAAAGGAGGAAAUAGAAUCGAAUAAUCUACCUUCUUUUUUCCUUCCCUCCCCCGACAAUCAAGCUGCACUUCCUUCUAACAAGUGGCUGAGAGUUAGCAAGCUACCUUGGCAGGCGGUUCGCUGUCCCCUUCCUUCCUUUCCGGUCCGGCCGCGGUACGGCACCUGAACUCGAAGCUACGAUCAGAUCCGAUUGGAUCUGAUCCGUUCAGAUUCCACAGAUCCAGCCGAUUUGGUCUGGUCCUAUCCGACCCAACCCCAGAACUUAGAAUGGCCGGCGUGUUUUGGACAGUAGAACGGGAAGAGGGGGAGUCGUGCCCAUUCUCUCUCCGGGCACGAGCAGGACAAAUUGAAGACCGAAUCGAAUACAUGUAUAUGACAGAACGACAUAUUCAAAAAUACGUGAUCUGAUUGGAUAGGCUGCCUGCAGAAAGAGUUUUCCGACCGCAUAACAAUUCAUUCUUUUGUGUAGCGCGUGGGACCAUGUCUCCCGAACGAUCAUAGUGCGGCCACUCAUCUAAAAAGAAAUUGGUAGAUCUCACUUCCCUUCCCCCAUACCAUAGCCGGAAGGAAGGGAUAGCGUAUCUACAGAAGAAAGAGUAAAGGCCCUCACCUUUAAUUUAGUUUAGACGCAGCUCGAAUGCCUUUACGCUAUAGGCUGUGUUAAGCAUGCUUCUUUGACAAAAAAGAAAGUCUUUUUCCAUGACAACAGUCGCGACUAUACUAUAAAGGGCGGGGCAGUAAGCUCUCUAUCAACAACAGGGGGCUGUUCUCCUUUGUCAACUCCUUGCUUGUGUCGUUGACUUUGUCAACGCGGACCGGGGCGAGCGGAAUUCAGUAGAGGCUCGAAGAUACUAAGCGAAGGGCGCUUUAGCGGCUUUGCUAUCCAUCCUACUAUACUACCGAAGGGCGACGGGCAAAGCUGCAAGGAGAUAGUGUGCCUUUCUUUGUUCUCAUAGCAGAGUGAGGGGCGCUAUCCAUCCGCCAAUAGAGCCGGUUUUAGUGAAGAUCCGCUCAUAUGCUGCAUGAGGGGCGGCAAAAGACGACUUUGCCCAUGAGUUAGCCGGAAUUCGGACCAAAAUCUCACUUGCAGCUCAGCUGACCCGCUUUCAUUGCAUUCGUGUCGAAAGUGGAGAAUAAAUAACGAAGAUUCGGUCGGUUGAUCUUUUCCUUUUAGUUCGAGAGGUUCGUGAUGCAAGGAAUUGGCCAACGAUCUUCUAUAUGAUGCUUAUAGUUCUGGCUCAGAGGCGUUACGCAUUGCACGCAACGAUUGUCUUCCUUUCGCGGGCGAGCCUAUGCGUUGAAAGUAGGUCAAUCUGCUUCUUCGGUUCGCCUAUUGGCUCAUGUCUUUCUCACCCUUUUUUGGUGUCUUAGGAGUCGCCUAAAUGCUCUAAGAAAUCGGUUAUCGUAUUACCUUGCCCAUGCGCUACUUUAUCUUUUUUAAUUCUUUCCGAUAUGAGCCGAAACCACGACUGAUUGAUUCGCCAAUCUUAGCAAAUAAGAGGCAAUCUUUCGAUUUCGACGAAUCCGCACUUGGCCUGAAAGUCCCAUCCCUAGGACCUGUAGUAGCACGAAAACAAGCAAGCUUUUUCCGAUGUCUUCGACACAGGAGAUUAGGACAGAGAAGUUAGCGAUAGGGGUCUCUCCUCUCCCUUACCACUUACUUUUUCCUACUACUUUGAACUGACUGAGAUGACUUCGCUUCAACCCAGUUAUUAUUUACGCAAUUUCCAGAUCGAGCCAAGCACUGAGCUUCAUUCCAGCUUUGGAAUGAGAGGAAGGGGGCAGUUACCUUUCUCGGAGGAUGCUGGCUUUAUUAGGUAUGAGUGCCGGUACUGAACACUGGAAUCGGCUAGGCUACUAGAUAUAAUGCUUCCACUCCGUACUCUGUAAUAAGAAGAACCAAGCAUCCACCGUAUAAGAGAAAGACCGUCGACCCCUGAGAUGAAAGAAGGAAACUUAGGUGCUGAACCCAGGCGGGGGCCCCGGAUAGGAGGUCAGUGUGUGAUCAGUUAGAUAGGGGAUCUCUUAACCAGAAUUACGGAAUGAGGACCGGGCCUGUACUCAUGGUAACGAUGGAAGGAAAUAUUUCGAAGACUUCUCAGUAGUGGAAGAAGGUAAUAUCACCUUGGUUAGGAAAAGCGCUUUAGGCUGGGCAAAGCCUUUAUUUUCUUAAUGGGGACCCAAUAAGUUCAGUACAUGUAAAGAUAAAUACAUCACCUCUCUCCUAGGCCUCUUGGGACUCUCCUUUGGCAACCCGUCGCGCCCUCGUCGCGGCGUUAGCAGCCAUUGACGAUGAAGACUAAGCGAGCCGGCCGGAGCAUAUGCUACUUUUUCUAAAUCGUGAACACCUUAUCUUUCUUCUCUGUCUGAUCCGCACACUCCAGACCUCGCCUCGGUUCUUGGCUUUGAUCCAAUUCCGAAGCUCGUUUGCUCACUAGCCGAUGUCAUUUUCAAUUGACUUAGUUAGAAAUGGGGAUACCGUACCACUUUAAAUUAAACAAGCGCCAGGAAAAUGGAGCUUACCGCGCUGAGUUACGUCGUAGGCGAAGCUUUCGAUUCGACAAAUGAAUGGUUGGUGCUUCCCUUCUUUAGCCUAUUUGCCUAUUUGGUAGAUUCAAUUAGGGCUAGCUCAAAGACUGGCUAAUCCCAAUCCGAUGGAUCAACUCUUUCGCGUCGCUUAACGACUUGUAACUCUGGCGAGUACCGAUGCUCCAAAUUGGAUUACCUAGCGCUUGGGUGAGAUGUUCGACAAGAGACUAAGGACUUUUUAGGUGGGAGUUCCAUCCGAGACGGACUGGAAUCACCGGCUCAUACUAGAAGCGGUGAACGGCAAGA